GGCAGGUCACGCCAGCCAGAGGUGGCAAUCUGGUUUGGUCUUCUUUGCAAGGUGUGUCAGGGUUGUUGUUUUGUUCUUUGCAAUAAAUCUUUUUGCUGUCAACUGUGUGUCUGCGAUGCAUUUAUGAGUUGUAACACUCACAGCGAAGGUCUGUAGCUCCGCUCCUGAAGCCAGCGAGACUAGGAACCCUCCCUGGGAGGCAUGAACAAUGUUGAACGCGCUGUCUUAAUUAACUGUACCACUGCGAAGGUCGGCAGCCUCACUCCUGAGGCCACAGAGACCACGAACCGACCAGAAGGAAAAAACUCCGAAGAAACUCAUCUUUAAGAACUGCAAAACUCACUGCGACGGUCUGUAGCAUCAUUCUUGAAGUCAGUGAGACCAAGAACCCAUGAAUUCCAGACACAAUCUGACUUGUCCUUGUGUGUGGUAAACUCAGUCUUUACCCACAAGUGAGUUUGUAACUGGUUCAUCUGUCCAUUGGGAAUGUUUACUGUGGGCCUACCAUGUACCAGGGACUACGCCAUGCUUGGAAGACCUGCAUAGAGUUUACAGCUGGAUUACCUGCACAUUGCUGGAUGGCAAAACGAAAGCCUCUCCAAAAGUCUGACUCUGCUUGGAGGCCCUUUACGCUCAUAUGGGGAGACAAUAGCAUUAGUGGUUGGAAGAAGGCUUGCUACACUUUGGAAAUAGCAGUCAUUCUCUCCAACCUGGAUUCUACCUGUGCACGGUUUGGUAGCUCCAUGUUCAGUUUCUGGAUUUAGACUGCCCAGACUGACGUCUUGGCUUUGGCACCUACUAACAGAAUAAACUACCGGAGGGACAGGGGUACUGGAAACAGUUCUGGAUAAACUACUGGAGGGACAGGGGUACUGGAAACAGUCGUCCCUCCCUCCUGCAAACUGGCAGGGUUGCCCCCUUACUCGGAUGAAGCCACCACCGUUCAGGGCAGGGCAUCCUGGGAGGUGGACUUCUCCAGAGCCCCCGGCAGGAAGUGAGGCUUUCCACUGUACUAACCCACUCUAGGACUUUAGACAAGAGAGAGGAGGUCAGGAUCUGCGUGUUUCACUGCUUUCCUUUCUUUCCUUCACUUUCUUCUUCCUUCUAUUCCAGAGACCAGAGUACAUACUUUUUUUUUUCAUUUUACUGAGAUCUGCUUACAUCAGGCACCCUCCCUUCUCAAACCAAGCCUUUUGUAUUGGCCAAGAUAUGAGGAAUCAAAAUGAUUCACAGCUAGGAAAAACAAAUCAGGAAAUAUUUAAAAACCACUGUACUCAUGAACACAAACACAGAGUACCAUUUCUCUGAAAAAUACUUACCACUUUUUGAAUUCAGAGAUAUCAUCAAUUGUGAAAUGCAUCACCAGCUUUAUUUCAGCUUCUUAGGGAAAAAUUCUAUUACAUUAGCUGAAUAACUAAUGAACUAAUUAACAGUGACACAAAUGUAUAGUUAUAAACCACUUUUGUUUCUCAAUCAAGGUUUAAGUCUAUGAUUUUUAAAUUUUCGUUAAUAGCGCAAAGUUUCUUUGGAAAAAUUUUGGCCAUAGCAAGUAAUUAUGUAGUAAACCAUAAAGAUAAUAAGUUUUUUACAAUCCAGGUUGUUGAACUCAAAAAUUUAGUACAUUUAGGCUUACCAGUAUAACGUAAGUUGUAUCAAAUAAUAUUAGGUUACUGUCUGUAUUUUUUCUUUGAUUAAAAGGUUUCUUUUGCUUUCUUUGCUAAAGUGAAAGAUCUCUAAUGGUUAGCUAAAUAGUUUCUAUUGCAAAGCAGUCACUCUCGACAAAUCUAAGUUCAUUUCCUAAGUGAUUCACCUCCAUGCAUGAUUAGGUCACUCUAACACUUGGGGGCACUGAAAUGUGUCUGCUAAAUUUGGAAAUACCCAGCGAUGACCAAAAUAAAGAUAAAAGCAGGAACUGACCAUCUACUAGAAAGGCUGACGUGGGAGGACUGCAUGAGCCCGGGGGGUUGAGGCUGCAGUGAGCUGAGAUAGCACCUCUGCACUCCAGCCUGGACAACAGAGUGAGACCCUGUCUCAAAAAAAAAAAAAAAAAAAAAAAAAAGUCAUAAUUCCAAAAGGUAGUUUUUGAAAACUACUAAUUAUAAAUUUUUGGCAAGACUGAUAAAGACAAUAGAGAAGGCACAGUUUACUGACAUUGGGAAGGAAAGAGGAACAUUAACACAGAAUCCACAGGGAUCAAAAAGGUGAUAAGAAAACAAUGAAAUCCCAGCAAUUUGGAAGGCCGAGGUGGGCUGAUCACAUGAGGCCAGAAGUUUAAGACCAGCCUGGCCAACACGGUGAAACCUCAUCUCUACUAAACAUAAAAAAAAUUAGCUGGAUGUGGUGGCAUAUGCCUGUAAUCCCAGCUACUUGGGAGGCUGAGGCAGGAGAAUCACUUGAACCCGGGAGGCAGAGGUUGCAGUAAGCCAAAAUCAUGCCACUGCACUCCAGCUCAGGCAACAGAGUGAGACUCCGUCUCAAAAGAAAAAAAUAAAAAAAGUAAAAGACAGGAAAAUUACAGACUAGUAACUGUCAUCAACAUAGAUGGAAAAAUUCCUAACAAAAAUAUUACAAAAUCAAAUGCAGAAAUAUAGAAAAAGGAUGGUUCAUCAUAACCAAGUGAUUUUUAUCCCAGGAAUGUGAAGUUGGUUUAACAUUUGAAAAUCAAUCAAUAUGAUUCAUCAUCUUAACAGAAUAAAGGAGAGAAACCAUAUGACCAUGUCGAUACAUAAAGAGAAAGCAUUAAAUAUUUUUCUAUUUAUGACAAUAUCUCUCAACUAAUUAGACCUAGAAGGAAGCUUUUUCAGUCCGAUUAUUGGAAUCUACAAAAACUACAGGUAACAUAAUUAAUGGUUCAGGAUUGAAUGUUUUUUCCCUAAAUUCAGAAACAAGGCAAAGUUAUCCACUCUCACUACUUCUAUUUAAUAUGGUACUGGAAGUCCUAGCUAGUAUAGUAAGGCAUACAAAUAAAACAAAAGUCAUAUAGAAGAAAGAAAUAGUUAAACUAGUUUUAUUCUUAGAUGGCAUGAUUGUCUAUGUUGGCAAUUCUAAAUGAAUCUACAAGAACUCUGGAAGCUCACAGGAUAAAAAGUCAAUCUACAGAAUUAAUUUAUUUCUGUGUACUAGCAACCAACAGUUGGAAAAUCAAAUGUAAAAACCAGUACCAUUUAUAAUACAAUAAACAAUUUAAUAUACUUACAAAUAACAUGUAAAACUCCAUAUUGAAAACAAAAUACUGUGGAGAGAAACUAAAGAAGACCUGAUCCAUGAGUCUUUCUGUCCUUAUGCCAUAGCACAGUCUAUUAAUAAUUUUAUAAUUUUACAAUAAAAUUUAAAAUCAGAUAACUGAAGUCCUCUAACUUUCUUCUUCUUUUUAAAGAUUGUUUUGGCUAUUCCAGCU
ensembl:lncRNA